rnacentral:rRNA from 1 species
CCAGACUCCUACGGGAGGCAGCAGUGGGGAAUAUUGCACAAUGGGGGAAACCCUGAUGCAGCGACGCCGCGUGAAGGAAGAAGUAUUUCGGUAUGUAAACUUCUAUCAGCAGGGAAGAAAAUGACGGUACCUGACUAAGAAGCCCCGGCUAACUACGUGCCAGCAGCCGCGGUAAUACGUAGGGGGCAAGCGUUAUCCGGAUUUACUGGGUGUAAAGGGAGCGUAGGCGGUUUAGCAAGUCAGAAGUGAAAGCCCGGGGCUCAACUCCGGGACUGCUUUUGGAACUGUGUGGCUGGAGUGUCGGAGAGGCAGGCGGAAUUCCUAGUGUAGCGGUGAAAUGCGUAGAUAUUAGGAGGAACACCAGUGGCGAAGGCGGCCUGCUGGACGAUGACUGACGUUGAGGCUCGAAAGCGUGGGGAGCAAACAGGAUUAGAUACCCGCGUAGAA